AAUAUCUUUGGAUAGAAAGAAGAAAUCAUAAAGAAGAAAAUAUGGUCCCUUAUUCAAUGAAAUCAUAAAGAAUUUAUCUCAACCGGCCAAUAAGAGAUAUAAAGCAGCAUUACCAUCUCUGUUUCUUUUGCAUACGGUGAGAAUAACAUCUCCGGCCAGGAGCCAAGCUAGGAUUUAAAAGUUAUCACAUACCUCCGGCGACGAGCAAAGCUGUAAUGUAAUUAAGAAAGGAAUGGAAGGGUCUAAAUGAGGAAACAUUAUAAAUGGGGCAAACUUGUGAAAGGAUUGGUAGUUAAAGAUAAAUAUAGUUUAGUGGAAAUAAUGUGAUAAGGAAGGGAUGAAAGAGCUAAAUGGAAACACAUUAUUGUGGGAAUAAUGUCUUCCCACUUU
rnacentral:lncRNA from 1 species